AACAUACUCCCCCUGUUUCGAAUUACUCGUCGCAGAAAUAGAUAUAUCUAGAUGCAUUUUAGUUCUAGAGACAUCCAUUUCUGUGAUGAGUAAUUUGGAACGGAGGGAGUAUAAG
rnacentral:pre_miRNA from 1 species